UACGUAGGUGGCAAGCGUUGUCCGGAAUUAUUGGGCGUAAAGCGCGCGCAGGCGGUCCUUUAAGUCUGAUGUGAAAGCCCACGGCUCAACCGUGGAGGGUCAUUGGAAACUGGGGGACUUGAGUACAGAAGAGAAGAGUGGAAUUCCGGGUGUAGUGGUGAAAUGCGUAGAGAUCCGGAGGAACACCAGUGGCGAAGGCGACACGCUGGGCCGUACCUGACGCUAAAGCGCGACAGCAUGGGGAGCAAACGGG
rnacentral:rRNA from 1 species